GGUUAUUCUUCUGUGAGACUGUUUUAAUUAGAGACAUGUUUUGAAUGGGAGAUGAGAUGGCCUGGCUGGAGUACGGGUUAUUCUUCUGUGAGACUGUUUUAAUUAGAGACAUGUUUUGAAUGGGAGAUGAGAUGGCCUGGCUGGAGUACGGGUUAUUCUUCUGUGAGACUGUUUUAAUUAGAGACAUGUUUUGAAUGGGAGAUGAGAUGGCCUGGCUGGAGUACGGGUUAUUCUUCUGUGAGACUGUUUUAAUUAGAGACAUGUUUUGAAUGGGAGAUGAGAUGGCCUGGCUGGAGUACGGGUUAUUCUUCUGUGAGACUGUUUUAAUUAGAGACAUGUUUUGAAUGGGAGAUGAGAUGGCCUGGCUGGAGUACAGGUUAUUCUUCUGUGAGACUGUUUUAAUUAGAGACAUGUUUUGAAUGGGAGAUGAGAUGGCCUGGCUGGAGUACAGGUUAUUCUUCUGUGAGACUGUUUUAAUUAGAGACAUGUUUUGAAUGGGAGAUGAGAUGGCCUGGCUGGAGUACGGGUUAUUCUUCUGUGAGACUGUUUUAAUUAGAGACAUGUUUUGAAUGGGAGAUGAGAUGGCCUGGCUGGAGUACAGGUUAUUCUUCUGUGAGACUGUUUUAAUUAGAGACAUGUUUUGAAUGGGAGAUGAGAUGGCCUGGCUGGAGUACGGGUUAUUCUUCUGUGAGACUGUUUUAAUUAGAGACAUGUUUUGAAUGGGAGAUGAGAUGGCCUGGCUGGAGUACGGGUUAUUCUUCUGUGAGACUGUUUUAAUUAGAGACAUGUUUUGAAUGGGAGAUGAGAUGGCCUGGCUGGAGUACGGGUUAUUCUUCUGUGAGACUGUUUUAAUUAGAGACAUGUUUUGAAUGGGAGAUGAGAUGGCCUGGCUGGAGUACAGGUUAUUCUUCUGUGAGACUGUUUUAAUUAGAGACAUGUUUUGAAUGGGAGAUGAGAUGGCCUGGCUGGAGUACAGGUUAUUCUUCUGUGAGACUGUUUUAAUUAGAGACAUGUUUUGAAUGGGAGAUGAGAUGGCCUGGCUGGAGUACGGGUU